CCUACGGGAGGCAGCAGUGAGGAAUAUUGGUCAAUGGGCUUACGCCUGAACCAGCCAAGUCGCGUGAGGGAAGACUGCCCUAUGGGUUGUAAACCUCUUUUGUCAGGGAGCAACGCCGGCUACGUGUAGCCGGACUGAGAGUAGCUGAAGAAAAAGCAUCGGCUAACUCCGUGCCAACAGCCGCGGAAAUACGGAGGAUGCGAGCGUUAUCCGGAUUUAUUGGGUUUAAAGGGUGCGUAGGCGGAAUGCCAAGUCAGCGGUAAAAUCGCGGGGCUCAACCUCGCUCCGCCGUUGAAACUGGCGUGCUUGAGUGGGCGAGAGGUAUGCAGAAUGCGUGGUGUAGCGGUGAAAUGCGUAGAGAUCACGCAGAACUCCGGUGGCGAAGGCGGCAUACCGGA
rnacentral:rRNA from 1 species